CCUACGGGAGGCUGCAGUGAGGAAUAUUGGUCAAUGGGCGGAAGCCUGAACCAGCCAAGUCGCGUGAGGGACUAAGGCUCUACGGGUCGUAAACCUCUUUUGCCGGGGAUCAGUGCCCAGCUCGCGAGCUGGGAGGGAGCGUACCCGGAGAAAAAGCAUCGGCUAACUCCGUGCCAGCAGCCGGGGUAAUACGGAGGAUGCGAGCGUUUUCCGGAUUUAUUGGGUUUAAAGGGUGCGUAGGCGGGCCUUCAGACCGGCGGUAAAAUCGCGGGGCGCAACCCCGCCGAGCCGGCGGAACCGGGGGCCGUGAGGAGCGGAGAAGUACGCGGAGUGAGUGGUGUAGCGGUGAAAUGCAUAG
rnacentral:rRNA from 1 species